rnacentral:rRNA from 1 species
CUGUCUUAGUGGCGACGGGUGAGUAACGCGUGGGCAACCUGCCCUGUACCGGGGGAUAACACUUAGAAAUAGGUGCUAAUACCGCAUAAUAGGGAAUACCGCAUGGUAAUCCUUUGAAAUCUCCGGUGGUACAGGAUGGGCCCGCGUCUGAUUAGCCAGUUGGCGGGGUAACGGCCCACCAAAGCGACGAUCAGCAGCCGGCCUGAGAGGGUGGACGGCCACACUGGGACUGAGACACGGCCCAGACUCCUACGGAAGGCAGCAG